CCCAAACUCUUGACCAUACCAAGGUAAGUCCACCAUACUACUUCAAAGAAAACACAGGGUUCUAAGAACUAGGAAGGGAACUCUUGAUGCUCCUCCACUCUAAUCAUGGAUAAGUGAAACUCAUUUGCCCCAUAUAACUCCUUUCUUCUGCUCUGCAAUUUUAUGGAAUUUGAAGUGGGAAAUAUAUGUGGAAUGAGCCAACAUUCUUAGAGGAAAGGCCUUUACAAAAGCAGGUUAUUAUUUUAUUAUGGUCUUUUGAUUUGGGACCAAAUUUCAAAGGACCUGAAUACUUUGUGUAUUUCCUGGAGAUGCCCUGGCCACCCAGGACAACUGAAGGCACUGUCUAGUUUUAAUCAUAUUCCUUCACUAAACAUUAAUUUAAUUCAAAACCUUUUCUGCGUUGAACUAAAUUCCAGGGGCUCUGCGCUGCCCUAGCCCACCUUCCCAAAGUGGGGGGGUAGACGCUGCCUCUGAAGAGGGAUGGUGUAAAUGGAACUGUCUGGUCUGCCCCAUUCCUUCCUCCACUUCUUCCUUCCCCUAUUUGGUGGAUCAAAGUCUCCAUUCUCAAUUCUUUAAGGCCAGAGAGCGAUCCGAUCUGUGUCACAGCAGAUGACAACGCCGGAUCCUUAAUUCACUGAGCCACCAGGGAACUCCCAAAGUCUUCAAUUCUGUCCCAAUCACCCUGGAAGCUGGAGACACUCUUUUGGGUAUCUGCAAUACUCCUUGCACACCUCGCCAACAAACAAAACGGGCGAGGUCACGCACGAUGGAAAUCUUCCUAGGAGUGGGGUCUGCAAUCUCAUCAAGGAGCAACAGGGACUUUUCAGAGUGCAGUGAACUUGGGGAGGGGCUUCCAGAACACAAGACUCAGUAGCAGGAGGGCGAUUCCCCCUCCAGCCCACACUUUCGGGUUUCUUGCCCCACUCCCACCCCACCCCUCCCCACCCCACCCCCACCCCACCCCCGACCCUCGGGUAGGAGAAGGCUUUAUUUUCUAGGCACCCCUUGCACCUGACUGCGCAGGCCCGGGACUCUCCGCCAAGGUCUCCUCCCAUCCCCAGAGAAAGGGCUGGGUGGGGAGACCUGGGGAGGAUUUUGAGGGGCCGGAGGUCAGGCGCGGCCGGGGGAGGCUCUGAGGAGACAACACGGCCAGCGCGGCGCUCCUGCAGCCUCCACCGCCGCGGAGCUUCCUCCCCUGCUCCCGCCUUUCCGGGCGGUCCGGCGACGGGGAGGGCAAGCUUCCUGCGCCAGCUCCCCUGGCGCCUGCUGCCGGGCCCGUUGGUGGCCCCGCCCGAGAGCUGGCCGGGCCGCAAUGGGGCGGGUCGGGGCCUGGGACUGAGGCCGGCGCUGGGGUCUGGGCGGAGCGCGCCGCAGACUAGAGACCGGCCCCGCCCGGCAGCGCUGGGAGUCGCCCCCACCUCCCCACCGCGCGCAGCGGCCGCCGUUGCCAAGGAGACUGCGAUAGCAGAGGGGAAGUCGCCAAUGGCUACCUGGAUCGAGUCCCCUUUGUAUUUCGUUCACAUCACCCUUUUUUCUUCCACCGAGACACCGCAUCCUUUGGCUACCGUCGGUGGCGCGGUGGUGGGAGUGUAAGAGGAGGUCUGCUUCCGCUGCCACCAUUACCUGUUUCUUGGAUGGUUAAGCUUGAGUAAAGGAAACUUCUGGGAAGUGGCCAAAGACCCUUGACAUGCCCCCCGCAGAGGAAACAUCGCUGACGUCAUCUCUGCUUGUCCACUCUGUGCUUCAGGUUACACAGCAUCUGCCUCUCCCCACCUCUAGACUCCCCUCGCCCCUGUCCACGCCCCCACCCCCCUCAACAGCACAUUGUUCAUCCUUCUGGCACCAGCCCUAGAAGAGGAAAGGGCAGGUCCUUCUCCCCAGGAAGGAAGGUGGGGCAGAGGAGCUCCCGCAGGAAGGGAAGGGAAAGGAGGGAAGGAAGGAAGGAAGGAAGUGGCCAACAGAAGAAGGUGGAAUCCGGUGGGAGGGCUUUGCAUUGUUUUCACGCCUUUCUUUUUUACCUCUGCAAAGUCAAGCCCAAGGCCAUCCCAGCGGCAAACUUUUGCUGCCCUCUCCCAGAAUGCCUGCUGAAACUGCCUCCUUGAGUCUGAAGGGGACCAGUGGAAACUUUGGGGGACAUAUUUUCGGGAGGUGGGCAGAGUUCAAUGUAUGCUGCCGAUUUUUUAAGCAUGUCCAUGUUUUGUGUGUCCGUUUCCUUUCGUUUCUUUUCUGUCCAACAAAAUCAGCUUUUAUUUUGCCUUUUUCCCCAUAAACAACCCAAGGGUGGAACUAGGCCUCAGGUAAGAAAAAUGUAUCUAAUGUUUUCUGAGGAUCUUCUGCCCUCAGAAAUCUGCUUACAGUCUGUAAUGCUUCACAUUGAAUGGGGCUUUAUAGUUUAUAAAGAUCUGCCACUUAACACGACCUCAUCUCAACCACUAUUUUUACCUCUUCUUGGUCUCUUUCACCACUAACUUUAAAACUCAGUCUUCCGGGGAAUAAAUAUUCAUCAAUAUUGCUCUCUAAUAUUCCUUUCACUCUUUUUCAGGCCAAGGCUCAAAUUGCCUGCCCAGGAACACAGUCAAGGAAGUGCUUUGGUCUAUUCUAGGCUUGUGGUCCAACACCAGAGACAGCUUCCUUGUAAACUCGAAGAGGUUGAUCAUGGGUCUAUUAUUUGCAUAGUGUAUCUUUGCAUCUGCAUUCACUUAAUAUCCAAAUGCUUAGAAAACUGCCAGCCAGUUUUGUGGCUCUAACAAGGCAGUGUCUUGUUCUUUGAAAGCCUCCGAGUAAAAACAGUUUAUAUGUGCUUUGGAAGUGCUUGUCUGAAAUCUAAAGUUAACCUCUGUUUGUAUUCACGUCUUCUGGAUUAGUUACAGUACCCUGAACACUGAGCAGAGGACAGAGGGAGUAGGGUUUUGUUUUUCUCAGUCUGGAAAAGCCCAUCCUUGCUCUGUCUGUAAGCAUAUCCUUCUGGGAGGAAAAUGUUAUCAGCAAUAUUCCGAUGACCUGGGAUGGGGCUGAGGAUCAGGAAGGGAGCCCAACAACCCGAGGAUCGUUUUUGUGUUUCUUUUGGUGUUAAAUUGCUGUCUUGUUGAUGGAGGAAGGUAAGAAGGGGUGGAGACCCGGCUCGGUGGAGUUGGGAGGAGCAUGGGCAGAGUCAUGUGGGCUUGGCUUCCUUUCCUUCGAUCUCGCUUACCCAGUGAGCUAGAGAGAAUUUGCAACCACCUUCAACUAGAGAACAAUCUGCAAGCCAAUCUGCCCUGGGCACUGCCUCCGGGAACUUACACUCUCACAGAUAACACAAGUUCUGCAAACAGAUGUGUGGAGGGGUGUGGGAUGCAGCAAUGGGGAUUUUUCUGGUAAGCAGUAGAAAGGAUUUUCUCAUAACUAGAGAUCUCAACUGUGACAAGGGCUGGGCUUCCUUAGGUAUUUAUGGUCAUAGAUAUGGACAGGGAGUCUAGGCUAGAUGACCACCCAUCAGAAAUCCUACAGUGCAUGUUCCUGGGCUGGGUGAGGGGCGAACUGAUGACCCCUGUGGUUCCCUUCUAAUUCUAAGAGCCCGCCAUUUUCAAAUAUAUUAGUGAUCCUAGGCAGUGUGCAAUGAAUGGCGUGAACUUUAGAGGGAUUCUCUUCACUGAUUAGCUGUUGAGUGUGUACUUUGUCCUUUGGCUAGAUGCUACGGCAGAUCCAGGGAUGUGAAGAAUGGGGUUCAAGAUCUUUGCAAAGGCCACUGCCACUCAGGGCAACCUGAGGCAGAAGGGUUCCAGGCCAGAGUGAGAGUCUCCGUUUACUUUUCAAUCAAAGCCCAGGGGUCAGCAUCCUCUUAGGCCAUUGCCCUGGGAUUUGUUUCUUCAUGAGACACCGGAUUGAAAGAUUUCUAGGGCUUUUGAUCUGGAGGAGAGAGGGCAGAAAAGACAACCCGUAUGGAUCCAGAGAGACGUGCUGAGGGAGUGAGGCCAUGUCUGGCAGGGUGAAAGCCGGGUGAAGAUAGAGACCCCCCCACCCCCGUCCCCACCGCCAUCGGGAUAUGCUGGGAUGGGGACAGGAAUGAGAACUGGGAGGAAAAUGAGGUGGAAAUGAAUGGGCCCCUGUAGGAAGAGGUAAUGAGGUGAAUCAGAAAAAUCUGUCACUGAGAUCCAAGGAGAGACCAGGAGGUUUCAUCUCCCUCGGUCUUUUUAAAAAAUGAGCCGUGUCAGUUAGAGGAUCUGGAUUGAUGAAGACAGAUCUGUUUCCUUGGCUCUUACCAGGAGGCUAGGAAUGGAGCAGGUGGGGGCUUUACUGUGGCUGCUGAGAGAGAUGUCGCUACCCCAGCCCUUGGGCAGCCCGGCACCAGCUCAGGGCCCCAUCUUUCUUUUCCCACCUUUGGCAAAAGGAAUCCUGCUAAGCCCCUAGAACUCCUUCCCUGGCCAGUGCUAGGCACCCCGCACCCCCUCCCCAUCAGCAGACUCCUCAGGAAGAGUCUGGGCACCUGUAAGCCAGGGAGAGUGGUGGGGUGGGUGGGGGGGAUCCCUGCUCUG
rnacentral:lncRNA from 9 species